ACUUUUCUCUGGGUUCGCGAAGCAGCGCUGUAUAGCCAGUCAAAAAACAACGAUAAAUUCUUAUAGUAUUUAUCGUGUGGCAGACAAGGCACGUGAUUUAUCAUAUACAGCUACGAAUCUUACAAACAAUUACCGGUUCCCAAGACUUUCGUGGAAAGAAAAAAAGAAAAAGAAAACAGCCGCAGCCGACCCACCAAUAUUAUUAUUUCUCUCUAUAAAAGUACCCUCAUAUCGACCUCAUCUAUACGCCAAAGUUCCCUUGGUGGGUUUAGAGGAGCAUAAAUGGGUGGUUGAGGAUGUAGUUGUGGUUGUGUAGCUUUCAAUACCCUAAAAAAGUUCUAGGUUUGAUGGUUAGUUUGGAUAGGGUUUCCGAGGUGGUUAGGGUUAUCAAUAUGUGUCCUUGCUUCUUGUGUAGUUUUGGGGUAGUCCCCAUUAAAGUUUUAGAGGCUAGUGUCAUAGCACUUGCCUUUGUAUUCAUAAGAUCGGAAACUUGUAAUUCUUUUGGAUGCUGAUUUUGUUAAGAACUUUGGAGUUGGAUGAACUGAUCAUGGAUGGGUCUUUUGCUCGUUGUUUUACUAUGUGAUUUUGAGGAGAGCGGAUGAUUUGCAGGUGGUUAUGAAUGGAUCAAACUGCUAUGAUUUUUAGUGAAGUUUUAGAUGAGUACGGGAGAAGUCUUUGUAGCUUUUAUUUGGACAAUAAGUUAUCUGAUACAUAUUUAUAUAUAUAUAUACAUAUAUGUAUAUAUAUAUAUAUAUAAGGUAAAAUUUCUGUUCUUUCUUCGUUUUAUUUCAUUUGGUUUUUGAGUUUCUAUCUAGAUAGAGUUAAAGAAGAAAUAUAUAUCUGAGAGGGGAAGUUGGGGAAAAUAUUUAUUUCUAUUUUCUGGGUAUGAAGUGCUGUGGCUAGGGUUUUGGAUGGAAAAAAUGAGUUAAAGCAAGUUGAGUGCAGUAGGUUUGAAGGAGCAGAGCUCCUUGAAGUCCAAUGGAGGGUCUUGCUGGGUGGAUCGAGCUGCCGAGUUAUGGAUUCCACAGCCCUAUCCCUUUCAUUUGAGGCUAUUUUGAUAGGCUUGCGGGUUGCAUAUCUCGGGAGCUUCGUUACCUAAAGUCAGAUCCUUGUUUGGAUUGAAGGGAGCUCUACACCUGUUCUACUCUUUUCAUGAUCUAUCAACUUAUGUUCAUUGAUUUGCCUUUUGUAUGUUCUUAUGUUUUAUAAAUUGUUACUGAUGAUUAACCUAGCAUUGAUAGACUGUAAAUAUCCCCCAUCAAGGGGCAGACUUUUCUAUAUUUUCUUAAUCAUAUAUCAUGAUUUUGCUGAAGUAUUUGUUUCUGCAGAUGGAAUCCUUCAAGGCCAGCCUACUUUUGAUCGAGAGUUCAUGUACACUCUUGGGUAUUUUACGUAUAUAGUAAUAGCUGAUAAUAUUUAGGAUUGAUAUUAAUAUGUGAACCACACUUAUGUGUAAUUUAUUUGUUGUAUACCACAAAUUUGAGAAGAGAAAUUAAAAAUAUAAUAGAAAGAGUGGCGUGUAGUGUAUAAGACUUAUAAUGCUUGGAAAAUAAGAAAAUGUGUAGCUUUGGUCAUCAAUGAUGGGAUUGAGUGUAAUAUAAGGCAUUGAAUACUUGCGUUGUUGUUAUAAAUUCUUUAUUGUAACAAUUAAAUACAGACUUCCUCGACUA